GGGACAAGCCCUGGAAACGGGGUCUAAUACCGGAUAACACUCCUGCAGGCAUCUGUGGGGGUUAAAAGCUCCGGCGGUGAAGGAUGAGCCCGCGGCCUAUCAGCUUGUUGGUGAGGUAGUGGCUCACCAAGGCGACGACGGGUAGCCGGCCUGAGAGGGCGACCGGCCACACUGGGACUGAGACACGGCCCAGACUCCUACGGGAGGCAGCAGUGGGGAAUAUUGCACAAUGGGCGAAAGCCUGAUGCAGCGACGCCGCGUGAGGGAUGACGGCCUUCGGGUUGUAAACCUCUUUCAGCAGGGAAGAAGCGAAAGUGACGGUACCUGCAGAAGAAGCGCCGGCUAACUACGUGCCAGCAGCCGCGGUAAUACGUAGGGCGCAAGCGUUGUCCGGAAUUAUUGGGCGUAAAGAGCUCGUAGGCGGUCUGUCGCGUCGGAUGUGAAAGCCCGGGGCUUAACCCCGGGUCUGCAUUCGAUACGGGCAGACUAGAGUGUGGUAGGGGAGAUCGGAAUUCCUGGUGUAGCGGUGAAAUGCGCAGAUAUCAGGAGGAACACCGGUGGCGAAGGCGGAUCUCUGGGCCAUUACUGACGCUGAGGAGCGAAAGCGUGGGGAGCGAACAGGAUUAGAUACCCUGGUAGUCCACGCCGUAAACGGUGGGAACUAGGUGUUGGCGACAUUCCACGUCGUCGGUGCCGCAGCUAACGCAUUAAGUUCCCCGCC
rnacentral:rRNA from 1 species